rnacentral:tRNA from 1 species
GGCCCUGUGGUGUAGUGGUUAACACCCUUGGUAGAUAUCCAAGUGACCUGGGUUCGAAUCCCGGCAGAGCUG